rnacentral:rRNA from 1 species
GAUAAACGCUAGCGGCAGGCCUAACACAUGCAAGUCGAGGGGCAGCACAUAAAGUGGUUUACUACUUUUGGUGGCGACCGGCGGACGGGUGCGUAACGCGUAUGCAACCUGCCUCCAACAGGGGGAUAACGGAGAGAAAUUUCCACUAAUACCCCAUAAUAUAAGAAUCGGCAUCGGUUUUGGUUGAAAACUCCGGUGGUUGGAGAUGGGCAUGCGUUGUAUUAGAUAGUUGGUGAGGUAACGGCUCACCAAGUCAACGAUACAUAGGGGGACUGAGAGGUUAGCCCCCCACACUGGUACUGAGACACGGACCAGACUCCUACGGGUGGCAGCAGUGAGGAAUAUUGGUCAAUGGGGGCAACCCUGAACCAGCCAUGCCGCGUGCAGGAAGACGGCUCUAUGAGUUGUAAACUGCUUUUACAAGGGGAUAAAUCGGUGUACGUGUACACCGUUGAAGGUACCUUGGGAAUAAGGAUCGGCUAACUCCGUGCCAGCCGCCGCGGUAA